CUCCUCUGUGUGUCUGUAUCUUGUAUUAUUAAGGGCCAUGCCAUUAACCCUACAACAGGUGAUCAAAGACUCAUUCAUAACCUGAUUUUGGAUUCUGGAAUCAUCUGGCAGCUAGCAUCUAGAGUGUGGAAGAACAAGGAUAUCCAAACAUCCGCAAACAGAUGAUUGAUGGCAGACCGGGUGAUAUGCGGAUUAAGACGCUUGUUAAGUCAAUUGAUGAGAUAAGUGAUGUGUGUGUGUGUUUAUUUGCUCAUUGCUUCACACAUAGACAAUAUUUACAUUUACAUUUACAAUAUGUCAAGUAUACUUUACUUCACAUUCUUAAUUCCCUCUAAUGCCUUUGUCAACCCCAAUGACCCAACAGCCAUGAGUAUGGAUUAUUGAUCAACACUCUAUUAUGAGGGUAAACUAAUGUUAAUAUAUUACUUUUCCCACUUCAUUGCAGCGAUACAUAGAUGUAGCACUUUGAGGUUACUGCUGGACCCCCAUCAAUGAUACAGACUACAGUCUGGUCCUGGUACUACUGACCAACAAUGAAUCCAGGCAGACCUGAGUGAUGUGAUGCUGCAGCUCCAGUGUGAGUACCACUGCCCACCCAGCGAGCCUCUGCCCCCCAUACACACCGACCUCCCUUAAGCUCUCGUCCAGGGUGUUACAAGUUGCAGAUCUUCAAUCUCUGCUGCCCAGCUCCUUUGAAUCAGGGGGACACGGGCUCCUGGCUCCCAGGGAAUAGUCAAGCGUUUGCACAUCUCGGACAACAACACACAGUUCCUGGAGAACUUCCUGUCUCUCAUGGUGGAGAUCACACCAGAAUCUGAACUCUAUGAGUUUCUCAUCUGUGUGUCUGUAUCUUGUAUUAUUAAGGGCCAUGCCAUUAACCCUACACCAGGUUUGUUGAACCGCUGAACAUUAUAUGGAAGGACACUUGAGGCACAAAGCAUUCUUUUGGGCAGUGUGCAAUGUGAGUUUUUCACCUGUGAUAUUUUACAAAGAUUGACAGGUUACUUUAAUUGUGUGUGUGUGUGCGCAUGUGUAUCAUCACAGGUGAUCAAAGCGUCAUUCAUAACCUGAUUUUGGAUUCUGGAAUCAUCUGGCAGCCAACAUCUGGAGUGUGGAAGAACAAGGAUAUCAAAACCUGACAGGCUCCCAGAGGCAGGGUCCCAGCUCACUCAACUGCCCCUCCCCUCUCCAACAGCCAUCAGCCUAGAACAGCAUGAAGAUGGAACUGCUAAAAGAUCAUCUAUGUAAGGGCUUUGAUAGUCGCGUUGCAGGAAUGAGGCGCAGGAAGCAACGAACACAGGGAGUGGUGUUUUUAAUAACACUGAAGCAAAAACAAAGUUCCCAAGCACAGGGGAAUAAACACAAUGAGCGACAAUGCAAAGCCGACACGAACAAGAAGUCGACAUACAAUAAUCAAUCCCGCACAACAAGGAGCGGGCCAGCUAAACUAAAUAGCCCCUCUAAUGGCUAAUUGACCACAGGUGUCCAAAAGCAAAAAAAGGGAAAAGCAAAAGGGAAUCGGUGGCAGCUAAUAGGCCGGUGACGACGACCGCCGAGCGCCACCCGAGCAGGAGGGGGCGCCACCGUCGGUGGGAAUCGUGACAAUCUAGGAAUCCUCCCUUCCUCGUGGAGCUUUUUGAAGGCUAUGAAAAAAGACAAAAGACAUGACAUUGACUCCUGAGUGUUGAACUUUUGCCCACUCUGUAGCCUCCCUGGUUAUUAUAUGACCCUGAUGGUCAUCUACGAUUGUUGGAACGUCUUUAAUAACAAUAAGGGGCAUAUGUACUCUUAAAUGUCCACUCAGCACAGCCCUCGGAGCAUGGUUCCUCUCUAGUUUUAAUCCUAGGUUUAUGACUUCUAGGGAGUGUUUCCUAGAUGCUGUGAAUCGGCAUAUGCAUUGAUGGGUCUUAGAUUUUUAGACUGGGUAUCUGUAAAACACUGACAACUGCUGAUGCAAAAAGGGGUUUUAAGAAAUACAUUUGGUUGAUUGAAAGAUUUGUAUUAUUAUCAAAAUAAUAUAACAAUAGUAUUAUUAUAAUCAUAAUCUUUAUUAUUAUUAUGUUACAGGUGUGACAUACCCAGAAAUGUCAACGUCUUGUCAAGUGCUCAAAUCUGUACAGCAGCCCCAGACAAUCAUGUACAGUAGGUCCAAUUUACAAGAAUGGGUUUACAAGGCAGUGAUGAAAACAGUUUAUAUGAGCGCUAAUUCAAACAUACAAUGAUAUAUAUUCGAUACAAUUACCCAUUCAAAACUAGUGUUACAAAAUCACUUCUCAUUGUGUUCAUUUCAAGGUUUCACAAACAUAAAACAACUAUCUAGUUAAUGUUUCUUGGACUAACACACUGUUGAGUUUCCUAUUUACUGAAGAACAAUCAUUAAGACAAAACACAAAAAGUUGUAAUGUAAUCUGUAUACAUGUCAUUCUAUACUGAAAACAGGUACAUUCUGAAAGAUUUUGAUGAUGUUGAUGUGAUAACACAUCUUUUUAUUCAUGUCUCAAUUUAGGAUAAUAGUGUUUAUUUUAAUUUUACUUAAAUUGUAUUAUUUAUGUUGUCUCAUACCAUGCUAAUACACUACCAAGCAAUGCAAACAGAUGUGGAAUUUACCCCAUAACAGUUGUGUCUUUUUGGAUCAAGAAUUGAUCAAGAAUUCCAAUAGGCGUGAUCAGAUCCUCUUUCCAUGCAGGCAUCAUAUAAUGCACAGCCACAUGCAAAUCCAUAAACUCCACCAAUAAAACAUUGAAAACCUUAACAUGACUGCUGGCAAUGUCAUUAUUUUUG
rnacentral:lncRNA from 1 species